GAUAUGGCAAUGGAGAUUGUUUACCACCUCCCUCAAAGGCUUCCAAUAUUCUUUACAUUUUGCAAUGAGAAUACCAAAGUAUGGAAUGUUGGAAGCCCACGAGGGAGGUUGAAAAAUUUCCUCCCUUUGUGUUAAAAGAAAAAAAUGAUAGCUAAAUUUUCGAUGGUAGCUGUCAUCUCGAUCAUAAUUUUGGUUAUAGUAGAAGAUUGUAUAGUUAACUUUAAGUUUUUCUUACGUGCAUUUUGCUUGUUUAUAGUUAACUUCGAGUCUUUCUUACGUGCAUUCUGCUUGUUUUGAUUCUUUAGAUGUUGGAGAAACCCUCUAAGGAAGACUCAAAUCUAAGCAUGCAUUUCUUUUAUCCUUUCAUGCCUCAUAUUUUUCAUUAYGUGUUGUGCGAUGAAAAUUCCCAAAUCAGUUAGAAUGGGGAAAAUCAUAAGCUCUGUCUAUUUUUGAUUUUCUGACAGAUUCCAAGGRUAAAACUAACGUUGACUUAACUUUCAAAUGGAUUAUGAAGAUAUAUUUUUAUUUCUCAUCGACUUCGUAAAACAAAAGAUGAGAUGAUGUUGAAAAUCAAAGUUUUUGGUCUAAAUUAAUUAUAUAUGAUGCCAAAGAUGUGCUUGUUUGUUUGUAAAAUUUUCAGGUUGAUUAGCCAUGGAGAUUGAUGGAUCACUUUAUGUAGGAAGCAUUUUUGGACUUCUUCUUAGGUCCUAUAGAACUUGUAUAAGCGAGGUAGUGAUUGAAGAGAUCUAGAGGACGCAUGAAGUUGAUUUCAUUUAUUAUGGACUAAGUUAGAGACGAGGUCACGUUGUUGCCCAUGAGCUUGCAUGUCGUGCUAGAAGAAACAAAUGUUCGUAAAUCUGGCCAGAGGACCACCCACUAAAAGAUGCUUUCUCCUUCUUAUUUUGUUCUGAAUUUUAAUGUUUGUACAAAAAAUAUACAUUACAAACCAUAGAUGUAAGUAGUUGAUGCAUAAUUUGGAUUCAUUUCUAAUGUCAAAC